UACGUAGGGUGCGAGCGUUGUCCGGAAUUACUGGGCGUAAAGAGCUCGUAGGUGGUUUGUCGCGUUGUCCGUGAAAACUCACAACUCAAUUGUGGGCGUGCGGGCGAUACGGGCAGACUGGAGUACUGCAGGGGGAGACUGGAAUUCCUGGUGUAGCGGUGGAAUGCGCAGAUAUCAGGAGGAACACCGGUGGCGAAGGCGGGUCUCUGGGCAGUAACUGACGCUGAGGAGCGAAAGCGUGGGGGAGCGAACAGG
rnacentral:rRNA from 1 species